rnacentral:tRNA from 1 species
CAGGGUGUGGGGAAGUCUGGCCUAACCCGCGUGCCUUGGGAGCACGAGACCGCUGGUUCAAAUCCAGUCACCCUGAC